GCACUACUUCCUCCGUUUCAAAUUACUUGUCGCAGAAAUGGAUGUAUCUAAAACUAAAAUACAUUUAGAUAUAUCCAUACUUGCGACAAGUAAUUCGGAAUAGAGGGAGUAGAUG
rfam:Triticum aestivum genome assembly, contig: Triticum_aestivum_CS42_TGACv1_scaffold_193965_3AL